rnacentral:rRNA from 1 species
GUACACGCUGUGACUAGCAUAUCAAUAAGCGGAGGAAAAGAAACUAACAAGGAUUCCCCUAGUAACGGCGAGUGAAGCGGGAAGAGCUCAAAUUUGAAAUCUUAAAGGGUUUCCCUUUACGAAUUGUAGUUUAAAGAAGUGUUUUCUGUUGAGGUUUUGGUAAAAGUUCUUUGGAAUAGGACAUCAUAGAGGGUGAGAAUCCCGUAUUUGACCUUUACUUUCAACUUUGCGAUACACUUUCAAAGAGUCGGAUUGUUUGGGAAUGCAGUCCAAAAUGGGUGGUAAAUUUCAUCUAAAGCUAAAUAUUGGCGAGAGACCGAUAGCGAACAAGUACCGUGAGGGAAAGAUGAAAAGAACUUUGAAAAGAGAGUUAAACAGUACGUGAAAUUAUCAAAAGGGAAGCGUUUGACACCAGUGUUGUUUUUCUGAAAAUCAAUUAAAGAACUGUUUAUGCUAAGUUGUUUAGACUUUAUCAGCUAACUGUUUAGUUUUGAGCUUUUCUUUAAUGCACUUUUCAGUUAACAAGUCAACAUCAAUUUCUUUUGCUGUAAAAAAGCUUGAGGAAGGUGGCUUGAGAUUCGUCUUAAGUGUUUAUAGCCUCUUGCCUAUGCAGUCGGAGAGAUUGAGGUCUGCAGCGUAGAUCCUUCGGGGCUAAAUGCAUUUGUGCUAAGUUAUAGCAUUUUAUAGACAACUUGUUGACUAUGAUUUGUCUUGUAGCUUACUCGCUUAUGUUAUUUUACCUACGCUUAGGAUGUUGACGCGCGUGUGUGCGUG